CAAUAGCGUAUAUUUAAGUUGCUGCAGCUAAAAAGCUCGUAGUUGGAUUUCGGGUGGGAAUGGCCGGUCCGCCGUUUCGGUGUGCACUUGCUACGCCCACCUUGCUGCCGGGGACGUGCUCUUGAGUUCACGCUCGGGACACGGAGUCGGCGAGGUUACUUUGAGUAAAUUAGAGUGUUCAAAGCAGGCCUACGCUCUGAAUACAUUAGCAUGGAAUAACACGAUAGGACUCUGGCCUAUCUUGUUGGUCUGUAGGACCGGAGUAAUGAUUAAGAGGGACAGUCGGGGGCAUUCGUAUUUCAUUGUCAGAGGUGAAAUUCUUGGAUUUAUGAAAGACGAACUACUGCGAAAGCAUUUGCCAAGGAUGUUUUCAUUGA
rnacentral:rRNA from 1 species